rfam:Schistosoma rodhaini strain Burundi genome assembly, scaffold: SROB_scaffold0012590
AUCCAGCUGACGAGUCCAAAAAUAGGACGAAACACACGUCAAACUGGAU